GACAGAGGAUGCAAGCGUUAUCCGGAAUGAUUGGGCGUAAAGAGCGUGUAGGCGGCCACGCAGGUCCGUUGUGAAAACUGGAGGCUCAACCUCCAGCUGUCGACGGAAACCGUAUGGCUAGAGUCCGGAAGAGGAGAGUGGAAUUCCUGGUGUAGCGGUGAAAUGCGCAGAUAUCAGGAAGAACACCAAUGGCGAAGGCAGCUCUCUGGGACGGUACUGACGCUGAGACGCGAAAGCGUGGGGAGCGAACAGG
rnacentral:rRNA from 1 species